UACGUAGGGUGCGAGCGUUAAUCGGAAUUACUGGGCGUAAAGCGUGCGUAGGCGGAUGUUUAAGUCAGAUGUGAAAUCCCCGGGCUCAACCUGGGAAUGGCAUUUGAAACUGGGCAUCUAGAGUGCGUCAGAGGGGGGUGGAAUUCCAGGUGUAGCAGUGAAAUGCGUAGAGAUGUGGAGGAACACCGAUGGCGAAGGCAGCCCCCUGGGAUGACACUGACGCUCAUGCAAAAAAGCGUGGGGAGCAAACAAGAUUAGACACCCUGGUAGUCCACGCCCUAAACUGUGUCAACUAGUUGUUGGGGACGUAAGUUCUUAGUGACGAAGCUAACGCGUGAAGUUGACCGCCUGGGGAGUACGGCCGCAAGGUUG
rnacentral:rRNA from 1 species